UACGGAGGAUGCGAGCGUUAUCCGGAUUUAUUGGUUUUAAAGGGUGCGUAGGCGGGAUGCCAAGUCAGCGGUAAAAAUGCGGUGCUCAACGCCGUCGAGCCGUUGAAACUGGCGUUCUUGAGUGGGCGAGAAGUAUGCGGAAUGCGUGGUGUAGCGGUGAAAUGCAUAGAUAUCACGCAGAACUCCGAUUGCGAAGGCAGCAUACCGGCGCCCUACUGACGCUGAGGCACGAAAGCGUGGGUAUCGAACAGG
rnacentral:rRNA from 1 species